GACGAACGCUGGCGGCGUGCCUAAUACAUGCAAGUAGGACGCAGUUGCGAACGGGUGAGUAACGCGUAGGUAACUACCUAUUAGAGGGGGAUAACUAUUGGAAACGAUAGCUAAUACCGCAUACUAGUAGAUGGACCUGCGUUGUAUUAGCUAGUAGGUAGGGUAAUGGCCUACCUAGGCAACGAUACAUAGCCGACCUGUGAGGGUGAUCGGCCACACUGGGACUGAGACACGGCCCAAAGUCCUACGGGAGGCAGCAGGAGGAAAUCUUCGGCAAGGGGGGGAGCCCUGACGGAGAAACGCCGAGUAAGUGAAGAAGUUUUUCGGGUCGUAAAGCCCUGUUGUUAAGGAAGCGGUACUAACCAGAAAGGGACGGCUAACUACGUGCCAGCAGCCGCGGUAAUUC
rnacentral:rRNA from 1 species